UUUUGCUUGUUAGCGGUUGCAUUUUAUGCUUUCUUCUCACCUUUCCUCGGAGGACGCUUUUGGGAGUAUGCUUCUAUUGCAGUUUAUUCUCCAGUGGCAUUGCUUGUUUUUGUUCUUUAUGUUCGGAGUACUGCAAUCAAUCCUGCAGAUCCAGGCAUAAUGUCUAAAUUUGAUUCUGGAAAAAUGAAUGAUACCAACUCAAAGCAUGGAUUUUCUGCGAGAAAUCGGUCUGGAAAAUUUGAUGAACUUAGUAAUGAUGCACGAUCUUCUCUGUCGUCAGCUUCAAGAACAUCCAUUGCUGCUGCUAAAUCCAUCAAGAAAGGUCAACAAGAAGCAGGGAGACUAGGUAAUGAAGUGGUUUCUUUGACCAGAAGUUCCUCUUGUUGUAAAAUUGGAGGAGUUUUCUGCUUUUUAUUUGUGCACGAGGAUUGCCGCAACGAGGAUGGAGCUGCUG
rnacentral:misc_RNA from 1 species